AAAAUGGCGUGGCCACUGCUCACAGUCUCAGGCUGCUACUGUCUUGGCCUCUCACAACUUCAUGUUAAUGUCCAACUCCAACCAAUUACACGUCGUGAAAUCGUACACCCAUCUAUUCAUCAAUGUAUACUUUCUGUCGAUAGAAUUAGAGCAAGACUCCCGCUUUUAAAUGCUCAAACCAAUGGAGACUACGACUCUGAGCAGCUAAUUGAAGAUCUUAGGGUUCCUCAACAGUGGCUACAACCUUCCAAAGCCUUGGAGGAAUCUGAAUGGCUGCAAACUGCUCUUAACAAGUGGUUGGAUGAUGAAUAUUGUCCAGAGGAAACAAAUAUUGAGAUUAGCAG
rnacentral:misc_RNA from 1 species